rnacentral:tRNA from 1 species
GCGCUCUUGGUCUAGUGGUACGAUACCCGCUUAGGGACUCUUCUCUUGUGUCUUGAUAUGCGGGUGGUCCCAGGUUCAAUCCCUGGAGGGCGCC